rnacentral:rRNA from 1 species
UGAGUGGCGAACGGGUGAGUAAUACGUGAGUAACCUGCCCUUGACUCUGGGAUAAGCCUGGGAAACUGGGUCUAAUACUGGAUAUGACAUGUCACUGCAUGGUGGUGUGUGGAAAGGGUUUUACUGGUUUUGGAUGGGCUCACGGCCUAUCAGCUUGUUGGUGGGGUAAUGGCCUACCAAGGCGACGACGGGUAGCCGGCCUGAGAGGGUGACCGGCCACACUGGGACUGAGACACGGCCCAGACUCCUACGGGAGGCAGCAGUGGGGAAUAUUGCACAAUGGGCGGAAGCCUGAUGCAGCGACGCCGCGUGAGGGAUGACGGCCUUCGGGUUGUAAACCUCUUUCAGCACGGAAGAAGCGAGAGUGACGGUACGUGCAGAAGAAGCGCCGGCUAACUACGUGCCAGCAGCCGCGGUAAUACGUAGGGCGCAAGCGUUGUCCGGAAUUAUUGGGCGUAAAGAGCUCGUAGGCGGUUUGUCGCGUCUGCUGUGAAAGCCCGGGGCUUAACCCCGGGUGUGCAGUGGGUACGGGCAGACUUGAGUGCAGUAGGGGAGACUGGAAUUCCUGGUGUAGCGGUGAAAUGCGCAGAUAUCAGGAAG